rnacentral:rRNA from 1 species
CGGUGAAUACGUUCCCGGACCUUGCACACACCGCCCGUCAAGCCAUGGAAGUUGGGUGUACCUAAAGUCGGUAACCGUAAGGAGCCGCCUAGGGUAAAAUCAAUGACUGGGGCU